rnacentral:rRNA from 1 species
CCUACGGGAGGCAGCAGUGAGGAAUAUUGGUCAAUGGGCGGAAGCCUGAACCAGCCCAGUCGCGUGAGGGAAUAAGGCCCUACGGGUCGUAAACCUCUUUUGCGGGGGAGCAAGGGCGGGGACGUGUCCCGGUCUGGAGAGUACACGGAGAAAAAGCAUCGGCUAACCCCGUGCCAGCAGCAGCGGUAAUACGGAGGAUCCGAGCGUAUUCCGAUUUUAUUGGGUUUAAAGGGUGCGUAGCCGGGCUUUUAAGUCGACGGUAAAAAUUUGGGGCUCACCCCCGGACGGCCGUGGGAACUGGGGACCUUGAGUGGGCGGGAGGAAGGCGGAAUGCGUGGUGUAGCGGUGAAAUGCAUAGAUAGCACGCAGAACCCCGAUUGCGAAGGCAGCCUUCCGGAGCCCUACUGACGCUGAGGCACGAAAGUGCGGGGAUCGAACAGGAUUAGAGACCCUUGUAGUC